rnacentral:rRNA from 1 species
AGGGAAUCUUCCGCAAUGGACGAAAGUCUGACGGAGCAACGCCGCGUGAGUGAUGAAGGCCUUCGGGUCGUAAAACUCUGUUGUCAGGGAAGAAUAAGUACCGGAGUAACUGCCGGUACCUUGACGGUACCUGACCAGAAAGCCACGGCUAACUACGUGCCAGCAGCCGCGGUAAUACGUAGGUGGCAAGCGUUGUCCGGAAUUAUUGGGCGUAAAGCGCGCGCAGGCGGUCCUUAAGUCUGAUGUGAAAGCCCACGGCUCAACCGUGGAGGGUCAUUGGAAACUGGGGGACUGGAGUGCAGAAGAGGAAAGCGGAAUUCCACGUGUAGCGGUGAAAUGCGUAGAGAUGUGGAGGAACACCAGUGGCGAAGGCGGCUUUCUGGUCUGUAACUGACGCUGAGGCGCGAAAGCGUGGGGAGCAAAC